GGCAGCAGUGGGGAAUCUUGCGCAAUGGGCGAAAGCCUGACGCAGCAACGCCGCGUGCGGGAUGACGGCCCUCGGGUUGUAAACCGCUUUCAGCAGGAACGAUGAUGACGGUACCUGCAGAAGAAGCUCCGGCCAACUACGUGCCAGCAGCCGCGGUAAUACGUAGGGAGCAAGCGUUGUCCGGAUUUAUUGGGCGUAAAGAGCUCGUAGGCGGUUCGGUAAGUCGGGUGUGAAAACUCUGGGCUCAACCCGGAGAGGCCACUCGAUACUGCUGUGA
rnacentral:rRNA from 1 species